rnacentral:hammerhead_ribozyme from 1 species
AUCAAGUUGAUGAGCCCCAAAUAGGACGAAACGCGUGUCCUGGAU